rnacentral:tRNA from 1 species
GGUUUGUAGCUCAGUGGUAGAGUGCUUGCCUAGCAUGUGUGAAGCACUGGAUUCAAUCCUCAGCACCA